GCACCGAAAAUUUAUGUGGUAAAUAUUGCACAUUAUGUCUUUACAUAUUAUGCAGUGGAUUACACACCAAUAAUUUAUGUGGUAAAUAUUGCACCGGGUCUUAUACAAGUACAUGUCUUUGCCUUUCUUUCAUAUACAUAUCUCAUAAACUUUCAUUUUUUUUUCUUCUGGUAAUUUUUCCUAUCUCUACAUUUCGCAGGCAUGCCUCCAUCCAAAGUUCAUAUCUGAUUUGAAGUUUUGAAGAAAAUGGUUCAGAUGUAUUUAAUUUAGCCCCCAAUGACAAGUUGACUGAGUUGGCGAGGCAACUUUACUAUUCAUCAUUUUGAUACCAUGAGUAGAGACAAUUCAUCCACUAUUUUGCAUCCCACGUUGUCGUUUCACCACCUUCCUCGUAUACCUCUCCAUGUCUGAGAAAACUCUGAUAUGUUUGUGUAAAAAUCACUUUGUUUACCCUCCUAUUUUCACUUUGACCUAAAAAAGUUAUUCAUAUUGGAAGUGACAAAUAUUACAAUCCAUCUUCAGACACCAUCUAGGAAAACAUGAAGUGUAUGUCAUAUCAUCCUUGAGAAUCUUUGAAUAAUGAGCCACAAUACCUUAAGACACAAUUUGAUUUUCACAAGCAUCAUGAAUGAAAUGGUUAAGUUGCCUCUCCAACUCAUACAACCUGUCAUUGGAGAGAUAACUCAUCCACUAGUUUAUUUUGAGGAGAGGUAUAUGUGAAUGUACACCACUAACCAACUUGUCAUCUAUGAAUGAAAUGGUUAAGUUGUCUCUCCAACUCAUUCAACUUUAAAUAAAACAUCAUUUCGAUAACAUGAAUUGAGGAGGAUGGUGGCAAUGAGGUGGUAUCGAAAUGAUGUUUUAUUUUAAUUGCAAAUACAUAUCAAUUAUGAACCACUAACCAAUUUUUUUUAUUAAUAUUGAACGAAAGUUAUAUAAUUUUGUAUGUUUCCUACGACAAUGUAUUUGUGUAUAUUCAAACGAAAGAGAUUAAAUUUUAUGGGAUAAACUAAAAAUUUUAUUUGAACCAAAAAAGAUACCUAAAUUUAUUGUAGAUAAGUAUAGAACAUGAUUAAUUUUAGUAGAGAAAAAAUUUACACAAAAAAAAAAAAUUAGUAGAGAAAAUCUAUAAAAAUAAAUAAAAUUCAAAAACAUAGUUUCUUGUGGCAUAGCGUUAAAAAUGCUAUCAACCAAAAUCAAACAAAAACUGUCAAUGACGAAAAAUAGCAUAGUAUGGUGGGGUACAAGAUUUUAUGGCAGGGAUCUUGCAAGUCUUUAUUCAGCAAACAAAUGUGUAGGCCUCAAUCCAAUUUUCAAUGCAACAAUUCCAAUAAGUAGACCAACAGAAGAUACGAUAUGCUCAAUAUUCCAAUAAGUGAUGUUGUAGAGUCGAGGUGGUGGUGACUCACAUGUAACUCCCCCCAUUCAAUAUCAACUCUUAUAGUUGAGAGUAUAAUAAUUUGAUAACAAUUUUAUGAUAACCUUCUUUUCUCUUUUUUUAUUAGUUGAGAUUAAUAGAGAGGGUUAAGAGUCUCACAUCGGAUAUGAGUUAGUCUGAUAAUGUACCUAUAAGUGAGGAUAAUUCUCACCUCAUAAGCCGGUUUUGUAGGAUUGUGUUGG
rnacentral:lncRNA from 1 species